UACGUAGGUGGCAAGCGUUGUCCGGAAUUAUUGGGCGUAAAGCGCGCGCAGGCGGUUUCUUAAGUCUGAUGUGAAAGCCCCCGGCUCAACCGGGGAGGGUCAUUGGAAACUGGGAAACUUGAGUGCAGGAGAGAAGAGCGGAAUUCCACGUGUAGCGGUGAAAUGCGUAGAGAUGUGGAGGAACACCAGUGGCGAAGGCGACUUUCUGGUCUGUAACUGACACUGAGGCGCGAAAGCGUGGGGAGCAAACAGG
rnacentral:rRNA from 1 species